rnacentral:lncRNA from 1 species
UAUAUAGCCCCAAAAAGGGUUGUAACCAUAGCAGAACCCUUUUAGGUCCUAUAUACAACCUUUCAUCUGCUGUUAGAACCCCUUUAACCUCUAUCUCUCUAACAGCAGAUAGAUAGAGAGGGGUUAAAUGGGUUCUAACAGCAGAUAGAGAGGUUAAAGGGGUUCUAACAGCAGAUAGAGAGGUUAAAGGGGUUCUAACAGCAGAUAGAUAGAGAGGUUAAAGGGGCUCUAACAGCAGAUAGAUAGAGAGGUUAAAGGGGUUCUAACAGCAGAUAGAGAGAUAGAGGUUAAAGGGGUUCUAACAGCAGAUAGAUAGAGAGGUUAAAGGGGUUCUAACAGCAGAUAUAGAGAGAGGUUAAAGGGGUUCUAACAGCAGAUAGAUAGAGAGGGGUUCUAACAGCAGAUAGAGAGAGAGAGGUUAAAGGGGUUCUAACAGCAGAUAGAUAGAGAGGUUAAAGGGGUUCUAACAGCAGAUAUAGAGAGAGGUUAAAAGGGUUCUAACAGCAGAUAGAGAGAGAGGUUAAAAGGGUUCUAACAGCAGAUAGAGAGAGAGGUUAAAGGGGUUCUAACAGCAGAUAGAUAGAGAGGUUAAAGGGGUUCUAACAGCAGAUAGAGAUAGAUGUUAAAGGGGUUCUAACAGCAGAUAGAUAGAGAGGGGUUCUAACAGCAGAUAGAUAGAGCGAUGUUAAAGGGGUUCUAACAGCAGAUAGAGAGAGGUUAAAGGGGUUCUAACAGCAGAUAGAGAGAGAGGUUAAAGGGGUUCUAACAGCAGAUAGGGAGAGAGGUUAAAUGGGUUCUAACAGCAGAUAGAGAGAGGUUAAAGGGGUUCUAACAGCAGAUAGAGAGAGAGG